rnacentral:rRNA from 1 species
UACGGAGGGUGCAAUCGUUGUUCGGAAUUACUGGGCGUAGAGCGCGUGUAGGCGGCUUGGCAAGCCGGGUGUGAAAUCCCGGGGCUCAACCCCGGAACUGCAAUCGAAACUGCCUGGCUGGAGUCCCGGAGAGGGUGGUGGAAUUCCCAGUGUAGAGGUGAAAUUCGUAGAUAUUGGGAGGAACACCAGUGGCGAAGGCGGCCACCUGGACGGUGACUGACGCUGAGACGCGAAAGCGUGGGGAGAAAACAGG